rnacentral:rRNA from 1 species
UGGGGAAUAUUGGACAAUGGGGGCAACCCUGAUCCAGCAAUGCCGCGUGUGUGAAGAAGGUCUUCGGAUUGUAAAGCACUUUCGACGGGGACGAUGAUGACGGUACCCGUAGAAGAAGCCCCGGCUAACUUCGUGCCAGCAGCCGCGGUAAUACGAAGGGGGGCUAGCGUUGCUCGGAAUGACUGGGCGUAAAGGGCGUGUAGGCGGUUUACACAGUCAGAUGUGAAAUCCCCCGGGCUUAACCUGGGAGCUGCAUUUGAUACGUGUAGACUAGAGUGUGAGAGAGGGGUUUGUGGA